AUUGAACGCUGGCGGCAUGCCUUACACAUGCAAGUCGAACGGUAACGGGCCUUCGGGUGCCGACGAGUGGCGAACGGGUGAGUAAUGUAUCGGAACGUACCUUUCAGUGGGGGAUAACGUAGCGAAAGUUACGCUAAUACCGCAUAUUCUGUGCGCAGGAAAGCAGGGGAUCGCAAGACCUUGUGCUGAUUGAGCGGCCGAUAUCAGAUUAGCUAGUUGGUGAGGUAAAGGCUCACCAAGGCGACGAUCUGUAGCGGGUCUGAGAGGAUGAUCCGCCACACUGGAACUGAGACACGGUCCAGACUCCUACGGGAGGCAGCAGUGGGGAAUUUUGGACAAUGGGGGCAACCCUGAUCCAGCCAUGCCGCGUGAGUGAAGAAGGCCUUCGGGUUGUAAAGCUCUUUCGGCCGGGAAGAAAUCGUGUUCUCUAACAUAGGACAUGGAUGACGGUACCGGACUAAGAAGCACCGGCUAACUACGUGCCAGCAGCCGCCGUAACAC
rnacentral:rRNA from 1 species